GUCUGAAAGUAAUUUGCUCCUAGUAUCUGUGACUACUUUUGGCUUUUUAUUGUAACAACUUGAACAAGUUGUUUAACUGAAAGUAAAGGAUUUCUCUGUAUUCUGAUCUUCAAAUUUUACUUUCUAGAGUGAUUGGGGUAUAUGAUUGCUUGAAUAUUUUGAAAUAGAAGAAAGCUAGUGAAGAAUGUUUGAAAUGCUCCUGGUAAAAAUGUGGAAAAUGCUAACUUUCUAGUAGACAUUCAGUUUACGUCGUAUUAGCUGAUUGAGGAGGAAAUAUGUUUCUUUAUUGGGAUCCACAGACAUACAUAUAGAUGCCCCCAAGAUCAGAACUGCAAUCCUCUUUUGAAUGACAGUAUCCAUAUAGGGCUCAGGGACUGUUCUCCUGAAAGCCAGCUAGAACAAAGAGGCUUUUCUCCAUCACCUUAAAGAUCUCAGAAAAACACUUUGGAGUACAUA
ensembl:lncRNA